rnacentral:rRNA from 1 species
AGGAGCCUAAACCAGCGUGCGUGCAUGCUGGGGUUAAGGACUGCAACAAGUGACCGGAAGGUUAACAGAAUGGUUUUGGGAAAGCCAGCCAUAGAGGGUGAAAGCCCCGUAUGUGAAAACCGGAAGGAGCGGCAGGAUCCAGAGUACUACGAGACACGUGGAACCUUGUAGGAAAUCGGGGGGACCACCCCCCAAGGCUAAAUACUCCUUAGUGACCGAUAGCGCAUAGUACUGUGAAGGAAAGGUGAAAAGGACCCCGGGAGGGGAGUGAAAGAGAACCUGAAACCCUGUGUUUACAAGCUGUGGAACAUCAUUAUUCGAUGAACCGCGUACUUUUUGUAGAACGGUCCGGCGAGUUACGCUUACUGGCAAGGUUAAGCACUGAAGGUGCGGAGCCGGAGGGAAACCAAGUCUGAAUAGGGCGAUGAGUCAGUAGGAGUAGACCCGAAACCGGGUGAUCUAUCCAUGUCCAGGUUGAAGCUGCCGUAAGAGGUAGUGGAGGACCGAACGCACAUCCGUUGAAAAGGGUGGCGAUGAGGUGUGGAUAGGGGAGAAAUUCCAAUCGAACCCGGAGAUAGCUGGUUCUCCUCGAAAUAGCUUUAGGGCUAGCCUCGUAUUAGUCUAGUGGAGGUAGAGCACUGAAUUUCCUAGGGGGCGUCAAAGCUUACCGAAGAAUAUCAAACUCCGAAUGCCAUAUAGAUGAUGUACGGGAGUCAGACUGCACGAGAUAAGUUGGGCAGUCAAAAGGGAAAGAGCCCAGACCGCCAGCUAAGGUCCCAAAGUGUGUGUUAAGUGGAAAAGGAUGUGGGAUUUCGAAGACAACUAGGAUGUUGGCUCAGAAGCAGCCAUACAUUAAAAGAGUGCGUAAUAGCUCACUAGUCGAGAGGUCCUGCGCCGAAAAUGUCCGGGGCUGAAACACAACACCGAAGCUGCGGAACCCGCAAGGGUUGGUAGAGGAGCAUUCUUAAAGGAACGAAGCAGUACCGUAAGGAGCUGUGGACUUUUAAGAAGAGAGAAUGCCGGAAUGAGUAGCGAGAGUAAGGUGAGAAUCCUUACGGCCGAAUAUCCAAGGUUUCCAGGGUAAAGCUGAUCUGCCCUGGGGAAGUCGGGACCUAAGGCGAGGCCGAGAGGCGUAGCCGAUGGACAACAGGUUGAGAUUCCUGUACUACAGUAUGACAGAACUGUGGGGACGCAGAAGGAGAGCACUACCUGGAAUGGAAUCCAGGGGCAAGCACAGGAGGGGUACGGCUGGAAAAACCGCCGUGCAACCCAAAGGUGUGACGCAUACCGAACUAAAGUAGGGAAAUGUGUGAGCCGGCUGCCGAGAAAAGCCGCUAUUGUUUGUACUGUACCCGUACCGUAAACCGACACAGGUGGAUGAGGAGAGAAUCCUAAGGCCGACGGAAGAAGCAUUGCUAAGGAACUCGGCAAAAUGACCCUGUAACUUCGGGAGAAAGGGUGCCUCGAAAGAGGCCGCAGAGAAUAGGCCCAAGCAACUGUUUAGCAAAAACACAGGUCUAUGCAAAACCGCAAGGUGAAGUAUAUGGGCUGACGCCUGCCCGGUGCUGGAAGGUUAAGGGGAGAUGUCAGGAGACGAAGCAUCGAACUUAAGCCCCAGUAAACGGCGGCCGUAACUAUAACGGUCCUAAGGUAGCGAAAUUCCUUGUCGGGUAAGUUCCGACCCGCACGAAAGGCGUAAUGA